rnacentral:rRNA from 1 species
UACGUAGGUGGCAAGCGUUGUCCGGAUUUACUGGGCGUAAAGAGCGCGCAGGCGGCCAAGUCAGUCGAAUGUGAAAGCCCCCCGGCUUAACUGGGGGAGGGUCAUUCGAUACUGCUCGGCUCGAAGACAGGAGAGGGAAGCGGAAUUCCCGGUGUAGUGGUGAAAUGCGUAGAUAUCGGGAGGAACACCAGUGGCGAAGGCGGCUUUCUGGCCUGUUCUUGACGCUGAGGCGCGAAAGCUAGGGGAGCAAACGGG